GGCACUCAGGGAUUAGAAAGACACACUUCCGGGUGUGUCUGGGUAGGUCAUGGAGGUGUGACUUUGGGGUCUAUAUAUAAUCCUUUGCCCUUUGUUCUCCAGUGCUGUUCACCUGCUCUGUUUUCUGACCACAUCAACUGAGCUAAUUUGCUCUACCAAGCCUUUCUGCCAAGAUGUUUCUGCAUUGGAGCUAAUUGAUCAUGGAGCAUGAAGCAAAGUAAACCUGUGUCAGAUAAGACUUCCCAACAACAAGAAAAGAUUUAUCUUCAAGGUGUUACCUUCAAGAUUGCCAUUGAAAGGUUACUAUUUUCGGACAAUAACAUAGAAUAGAAUCACCAUCAAGAAGAAUGUCCAAAGAAUGAAUUCUAUAAAAUGCUAGAGCUGGCUACUGCGAUAAUAUAU
rnacentral:lncRNA from 1 species